rnacentral:rRNA from 1 species
AGUGAACGCUGGCGGUAGGCCUAACACAUGCAAGUCGAACGGCAGCACAUUAAGAGCUUGCUCUUACGGGUGGCGAGUGGCGGACGGGUGAGGAAUACAUCGGAAUCUACUUUUUCGUGGGGGAUAACGUAUGGAAACUUACGCUAAUACCGCAUACGACCUACGGGUGAAAGCAGGGGAUCUUCGGACCUUGCGCGAUUGAAUGAGCCGAUGUCGGAUUAGCUAGUUGGCGGGGUAAAGGCCCACCAAGGCGACGAUCCGUAGCUGGUCUGAGAGGAUGAUCAGCCACACUGGAACUGAGACACGGUCCAGACGCCUACGGGAGGCAGCAGUGGGGAAUAUUGGACAAUGGGCGCAAGCCUGAUCCAGACAUACCGCGUGGGUGAAGAAGGCCUUCGGGUUGUAAAGCCCUUUUGUUGGGAAAGAAAAGCAGCAGGUUAAUAACCCGCUGUUCUGACGGUACCCAAAGAAUAAGCACCGGCUAAAUUCGUG